ensembl:miRNA
UGAGGCAGGAGAAUUGCUUGAACCCAGGAGGUGGAGGCUGCAGUGAGCCAAGAUUGUGCCACUGCACUCCAGCCUGGGUGACAGAGCGAGACUCCGUCUCA